AGCUCCAAUAGCGUAUAUUAAAGUUGUUGCAGUUAAAACGCUCGUAGUCGGAUUUCGGGGCGUGCUGACCGGUCUGCCGAUGGGUAUGCACUGGUUUGGCGCGUCCUUUCUUUCGGAGCUCUCUGCUGCUCUUAACUGAGCGGUGGAGGGAGACGGAUCGUUUACUUUGAAAAAAUCAGAGUGUUUCAAGCAGGCAGCUCGCUCUUGCAUGGAUUAGCAUGGGAUAAUGAAAUAGGACUCUGGUGCUAUUUUGUUGGUUUCGAACACCGGAGUAAUGAUUAACAGGGACAGUCAGGGGCACUCGUAUUCCGCCGAGAGAGGUGAAAUUCUCAGACCAGCGGAAGACGAACCACUGCGAAAGCAUUUGCCAGGGAUGUUUUCACUG
rnacentral:rRNA from 1 species